AUUGAACGCUGGCGGCAGGCUUAACACAUGCAAGUCGAGCGGAGAUGAGGUGCUUGCACCUUAUCUUAGCGGCGGGCGGGUGAGUAAUGCUUAGGAAUCUGCCUAUUAGUGGGGGACAACAUUCCGAAAGGAAUGCUAAUACCGCAUACGUCCUACGGGAGAAAGCAGGGGAUCUUCGGACCUUGCGCUAAUAGGUGAGCCUAAGUCGGAUUAGCUAGUUGGUGGGGUAAAGGCCUACCAAGGCGACGAUCUGUAGCGGGUCUGAGAGGAUGAUCCGCCACACUGGGACUGAGACACGGCCCAGACUCCUACGGGAGGCAGCAGUGGGGAAUAUUGGACAAUGGGGGGAACCCUGAUCUAGCCAUGCUGCGUGUGUGAAGAAGGCCUUAUGGUUGUAAAGCACUUUAAGCGAGGAGGAGGCUACUGAGACUAAUACUCUUGGAUAGUGGACGUUACUCGCAGAAUAAGCACCGGCUAACUCUGUGCCAGCCGCCGCGGUAAUAC
rnacentral:rRNA from 1 species